CAUGGAACCUGCAGGAACUAACCAUGUGGACAGAUGAAAAAUGUAUUUGUCUCCAAAUUGCAGUGAUCCUACAUAAGCAUGGUGGCUUCUGUCCGGCUUAGGACAGCUGAGUUUGAUCCUCUCCCUCCUCACAGG